UCUAUCAUAUCUUUAUAUGAUGUUUACUGGUGUUGACUUCAGUUCAUGCCAACAUUAACUUCCUUUAAUUUUAACUCUCUGUGUGUACUUGGAUAUCUUUUGGUAGUGGAGAUUUUUUUUUAGUUUGGUAUGUUUAUGUUUUUUUGCUGAUGUUUUGUUUUUUGUUUUUUAAAGGAAAUUGUAUACAAGUCUGUCUUCAAAUUUGGUGUACAGAGAAAUGGAAGAUCUGCUCAGGUUGAUAAGAAUCAUGGAAUCACAGAAACACCAAGAUGGAAAGCUAUUUUCAGAAGUGCUCAACAUUGGCUUACAUUCUGUGGAAGUCAGCAGUAGAACUCCUACCGACUUUUACUUGAGAGUGGAACUAUGUCAACACUGAAUGGUUUUGAAAAGCACAGCGUGUCAUUUUGACUAAUGCUGCCCAGAUUCUGAAGAAUGAGGCUGCGGUUCCAUGACAAUUGAAGCCUACGUAGAUUGGGAUGACUGCAAAACCAAAUCUUAUCCCUGAAAAAGAUAUAUAUUUCCACCAAAUCAGCUUCUGAGAGGACUCAUUAUAUUUUCACAGCCUUCAGAAGAGCUGCUCUAUUUUUUCUCCAGGGACAGCUGAGGAAAGUCUAAGUUAUGUGGUGAAGCUUCCUAUACAAGCAAGGCAGGGAAACAGUGUUAACCACGGUGAAGAAAAUGUGGAGACUGAAGUGAAGUGACUCCAGAAUGAGACAGUGAGUCAGCAUUAAAGGCUGGACCAGAACUCAAGUCUGCCAACAUGCAGCAGUGAGAACAAAAGAAAUCAUCCUAGUGAAAGCACUGGCUGUAGUGUUAGCCUGAAAGAAUCUGACUGAGGAAUCGUCCGUAAUAUGAAUAAGAUACAGCAGAGGCUGAUAACAAGAAUUUUGCUGGUGUGCAUGAUAAGAAGUCUCCAUGAUGAGAAACUCAGUGAACAUUAGGAAAUGGCAUGUAUUCUAUAAAACCACUUGCACACAUGAGGAGACAUCUGGCAAUGCUGUGAAUGCAUCCGUGCCACAGGCUGUCUGUUUUCUGUUUAGGACUUGUGUAGGAGUCCUCCAAUUAGAACCAUGGGAGC